GUGAGGCCAAACUUGGCAUGUGAU
rnacentral:snRNA from 1 species